UCUCGGUGUCUAGACAUACUGAAGGACAAGUGGAGCCCGGCGCUGCAGAUUCGCACCGUGCUGCUGUCGAUUCAGGCACUGCUGAGCGCACCGAACCCGGACGAUCCGCUCGCGAACGAUGUGGCCGAGCUGUGGAAGGUGAACGAGGCGGAAGCGAUCCGGAAUGCGAAGGAAUGGACGCAACGGUACGCCAACGACAACUAGAUGCUGAUUAACCAAUUUUCCUUAAAACUACACACACACACAGAAUAACUCUUUUUUAAGAAACAAAACGCAAAACAAAUUGUAAUGGUGAGCGGGCGGAUUUAACAAGUACGAGCGUACCCGCAGCAACAGAAACCAGCAGCCUCAGCAACAGCAGCAGCAGCAGCAGCAGCAGCAACUUUCCAGCUCCAGUUAUCAUCAAUAAUCCUCCCUUUGCCGAGUGUGUCCACAGAGGCAGAGCAAAACACUCUGUGGGAAAAGAAAUAAAAGCUUGUGCGUGUGUAUGUGUGCAAGUAUGUGCGCGUGGUGUGUGUGUGUGUGUGUGUCCAAGAAUGUGCAUGCGUCUGGAGGAAUUUAUAAAAAUUUGACAGCAUCAUCCAAGUAGCAGCUAAAUGAACUGUCAAACAUCUUAACCGCGGAACUAUAAAAACAAAAAUAGAAGAGCCCACGACAUAACGUACGAAGAAUUAUCUCCUGCUGCAGUUAGUAGACGGUGUGUGAUAGCCAUCGAGCAUUGGCUGCGAACCACGCGGCGGCACUUCUAUGCCGUACGAGCUUGUUUUCGCGUCAACAUUUAGUGCACGUGAAUGCGUGCGUGCGUGUUUCUGUCCGUCUGCUCGGCUGCCGCACAUACACACACACAUAAUCAACAACAGUAUAUGGACAAGCAGAGUAACAAUAAAUCAUAACAACGCUCGACUCCCUUGGCGAUGGGAAGCCUCACACUACGAACGAAACAAUGGCAUCGGACAAUGUGGCGGUAGCGCGAGGAAAUGUUCACCUUAAGAUGGCUAAUUGCAGCUUAAGAAUGAAGCUAAAAACAUAAAAUUUCCCAACGACUACAACAUGUUGUGGGCGGUGUCAAAGAGGAGUAACAAUUAUCCGAUGGAAAUUCAACAAAGGUGAACAACGAGUGGUGCUGUUCAUCAGGAAUGGUCAGGAACCAAGUCGAAAAUUUACUGCUGUCAGCUGUGCUUAGAUAUCAAUAAAAUUUAAAGUGCUAGUACACACUGAAUGAGCAAUGCCCGCAAAUCAUCAAUCGAUCCGAGCGAACGACGGGACAGGUUGAAGGAAAAGUAGACUAAAAAGAUGUGUCAACAUGCAAUUUUCACCAAGUCACGAUAACGGCAACAUCGUUCCCGUUUUUUUUUGUUCCUCUUACCUUACCGAUUGUAUCUGUAACGUGAAGUUACUUGAUUAGCUGUAGCUCGAAUCUUCUAGCAAUAUUACGGUUUUUAAUUGGUUGAAUACAGCUUCGACAGUAGACAUUUUCUCCACUACUCUUCUCUUCAACACGAGCAUGAUUAUGUUGUUUGGCAAGUUUGCUAAAUUGAAAACCUUUGCGAUAACUCAAGCAUAACUCAACAUUUUAGGGCGAUUUUGCUUUAAGUAGAAUAGUAAACGAAAGAACGUCCAGAAAAAAAAGAUUUAAUUACACUUAUGGCAACAUAACAGAUACGCCAUUUGCAGUGAUCUAGGAGACGAAAAAGGAAUAAACGAACUAACCAAAAGUGCUGCCUCCUGACACUGUUUAAAUGAUUUGAAACAAAAUCCUUCAGUCAAUGACGCAGCUUGAUAUUCUGCAUGAUUGCACAUGCCCCAACACAAACAUACCACGGUUACAAGCACGUACAAUUAGUUCAGUUAUUGAUGAAUAGCUGCUGCAAAUGGAACGAAGCAAAAAAAAAGUUUGCGCGUACUGCUGCAACACUUUCGAAACAACUCACUGCAAACACAUUAUAAAAACAACUCGUUCGUGAAUUGGUAGGUCAAACGGAAUUAAGAAUAUCACUGUAAGAAGGGACGCGAAUGUACUGAUAGGAAACUGCGGAGGGAAAAGGGAACUGUGAGAUAAUCUACGAACUGAAAAAAUGGUAAAGCACAACGUACGAACAACAUCUAUGGGAGAAGGGGAACGGGAAUGAGAUCGAGGAUAGAAACUCCUACUGUGCUAUCGUAUGAUAUAAGAGAAAGUAAUUAUGAUCACCAAGAAACGGCAUUCAAUUCGCAAAAACAAACUCUAUUUCACAAACUACACUAAAAAAAAAAACAAAAAAGAACAAAAAAAGAAAGAAACACGCAAACACAUUCUACGGAAAACAAACAGUUGUAUAUUAGAAUGAGGAUUAUAAAUAAUUGAAUGAAAACCUAAA